UACGAAGGGAGCUAGCGUUGUUCGGAAUUACUGGGCGUAAAGGGCGCGUAGGCGGCUUCGAUAGUCGGGCGUGAAAUGCCUGGGCUCAACCCAGGAAUUGCGUUCGAUACUGCGAGGCUUGAGUGUGGGAGAGGAUGGUGGAAUUCCCAGUGUAGAGGUGAAAUUCGUAGAUAUUGGGAAGAACACCAGCGGCGAAGGCGGCCAUCUGGACCACAACUGACGCUGAGGCGCGAAAGCGUGGGGAGCAAACAGG
rnacentral:rRNA from 1 species